CUUUAUUAGACUUUUGCUCUCAUACUCAACUCACUCAGUCACUUAGCUCAAUCACAUACUCACCUUCAUUUUCUUCCAAACCCUAAUCCCGCCAAACAAAUAUUAAAGUUUACCUCUCAAUCUCAGAUUCUCAGGCUCCCACCUAACCAUUUUUCUCUAAUCUUUUGCCCUCAGUUAGUCUCCUUCUCAUCUCCGUUCUCCACCGUGGCUCUGCCACUAUGUAGUUGUCUUUGGGGUAAUUUAAGAGAUUCAGUUUCAGCCUAGUAAAGGACUAAAUCUCAAAGGCUUAAAGAGUUCCUGGUGAGGCAAAUUCUUCUCCCCAUGUCUGGCAUUACAUAUGGAGCUCGCUUCGUCCUCCUCAAUCUUUGCAUCAUCCUCCUCCAACGACGUUCCUGAUCACUCAAUAACAAGGGUCACAAAAAUUUUGAUCUCUAUGUCUGAUGAUCUUGAUGAUAAAACCCUGUUCAAGGCCACUGAAAAAUUAGUAACGGCUGAAUGGAGGGAAGCUUUCAUGGCCUUCACUCCGGAUAGACGACUGGGCUGGAUCAAGUAUCUGACUAGGUCAUCCUAGGGGAGUUUGUUCAGUUGCUUUGUAUGGUUUAGUGGGGGCACAUUGUAUUGUGCUAAGGAACAAUUAUGUUAUUAUAUUUGAAUAUGUAUGUUAAUGACCGUAUUAUUUGGUGGUUUUUUAUGUUUAUUACCUUCUCUUGUUACAAACAGUCUGUGAUACUGACUUAUUAUUGUAUAAAAAAACUUGUGACUUAUCUGCACUA